rnacentral:rRNA from 1 species
UACGUAGGGGGCAAGCGUUGUCCGGAUUUAUUGGGCGUAAAGAGCGUGUAGGCGGCUUUACAGGUCCGUUGUGAAAACUCGAGGCUCAACCUCGAGACGCCGGUGGAAACCGUAAAGCUAGAGUCCGGAAGAGGAGAGUGGAAUUCCUGGUGUAGCGGUGAAAUGCGCAGAUAUCAGGAAGAACACCCGUGGCGAAGGCGGCUCUCUGGGACGGUACUGACGCUGAGACGCGAAAGCGUGGGGAGCGAACAUG